rnacentral:rRNA from 1 species
UACGUAGGGUGCAAGCGUUGUCCGGAAUUAUUGGGCGUAAAGAGCUCGUAGGCGGUUUGUCGCGUCUGCUGUGAAAACUCGGGGCUUAACUCCGGGCCUGCAGUGGGUACGGGCAGACUAGAGUGCGGUAGGGGAGACUGGAAUUCCUGGUGUAGCGGUGAAAUGCGCAGAUAUCAGGAGGAACACCGGUGGCGAAGGCGGGUCUCUGGGCCGUAACUGACGCUGAGGCGCGAAAGCGUGGGUAGCAAACAGG